rnacentral:lncRNA from 10 species
GUUCAAACCGUGUUCAAAUAAGGCAAACGCCAGCCUGUAACCAAUCCAGCUGCUCUGUACCUCACUUCCCAAUUUCUAUCUAGAAGAAAGGAUCUGAGUGACAGGCUUAGGUGCGUUGUCUGCGUCCCAGGAACAGAGCAAAGCACACUGGCUCAGGCAUGAGGAAGCCACACCCCAAUCCUGCCUUUCAGGUGCCAAUGGAGAACAACCCCUUCAGCGGAACCAUGGUGCUUUACAUCUCUCUCUGAACUCUCAGAUCUCCUAAGUGGAGAUGGCUGAUUAAGGCUCUUAUCUUUCACGUUCUAAAAUCAAUUUAGUGUUGUUCGGAGCCAGCAAUGUUAAAAUAUAUUUGUAUUUUGAAACAAAGUUAACAUAGAGAAAUGAAAAAUAAAAUGUUGAGAAUUUUACAUUUAAUUGCAGAUAUAAUUCUGUGUUCUGUAUGUUACUUAGUUUUCUAUCUUAAAUAGUUUGAAGGUAAACACUUCUUUUAC